rnacentral:rRNA from 1 species
CCUACGGGGGGCAGCAGUGGGGAAUAUUGCGCAAUGGGCGAAAGCCUGACGCAGCGCCGCCGCGUGAGGGAUGAAGGUCUUCGGAUCGUAAACCUCUGUACGCAGGGAAGAACGGUCACUGUGCUAAUCAGCAGUGAAUUGACGGUACCUGCAAAGGAAGCACCGGCUAACUCCGUGCCAGCCGCCGCGGUAAUACGGAGGGUGCGAGCGUUAAUCGGAUUUACUGGGCGUAAAGCGCUCGUAGGCGGUAUGUCAAGUCAUGUGUGAAAUCCCCGCGCUCAACGUGGGAACUGCCUUUGAAACUGGCAAACUGGAGUGUGUGAGAGGAUAGUGGAAUUCCAGGUGUAGGAGUGAAAUCCGUAGAUAUCUGGAGGAACAUCAGUGGCGAAGGCGACUAUCUGGCACAUAACUGACGCUGAGGAGCGAAAGCGUGGGUAGCAAACAGGAUUAGAUACCCGGGUAGUC